UAUAGUUUUAAUUUAUUUAGAGAGGAAAAUUAUAGCAAUAUAAUCGUAGAUCAUUUAAAAAAGACAUUUCGGAUACAUUAGUUAUGCAGGCCAUUAUCAAUAUUCGCCGCCAUCUUGUUUAUGACAUCACCGGGUGUGUUGCAAAGUUCUUCCGGUAUCAGUGCGUUGGUUGGUUUGGUUACUGGGAUACUGUGCUCUGCUGCUGAUCACCCGUAGCCUGCUAAAAAUAACUUAGCUAAACUAUGGAGGAUGAAGUGGAGAGAUUUGGCGAAUCCCACGACUUUCACCCAAUGGCUUAUGCUUUCGAGCCAAUAGUGAAGGAAAUGCGUAGCAUUGCCACUACUGGGCAUAUUCAUGAAACAGGACUAGAACUAGGGCUAUGCGAAUCGGUUUCGGGAGGUGAGGGCAGAGUGGGCAACAUUGACUGGUGCAUGUGUAACCAUUGCCAGCCCAUGUGCACGUCGUGGGAGUCCAGGUGUUGCCUUGAGGCUGAUUUGGGCUAUUUGAUCGAGGGUGAGACGUGUAUCACCAUGUCUCGGAUGUUCAGCAUCUUGUGCCUUGAAAAAGACGUAUUGGAAGUGGCAAUGCUGUCACUACGAGAGGUACGAGGGGAGCCACUGAAGCGGCCCAUCAACAGCAGUCUGUACAGGUUAAUGGCAUACAGGCAGUUCACUCUCUGGGCAAGAGGACACCUGGGGAGGAGAAACAGGAUGCCAAUACCAGCCUGCGUUGUAACCACCAUACGGCACCUAUACCCAUCGCCACAAUAUCAUGGAUUUGAAUACUCUUUUUAAAUCAAAUAAUAACUAUAUUAUAUAUCCAA